UCUUUCAAGCCUCUGUGUUGCAGCCCAACUAUGUAGUUUUAAAUAAUUUGACUUGAUAAUAUGACUACACUUUAAUUGAGUCAAAAUGAGUUGUAAAUAAGUGGAAAAAAGAAAAGCUCCUAUUUGAAAAAUGUAUUUGUGUAGUGGACUGCACUGAAUAAAGUUGAGGCUAAUGAACAUUGGUUCCAUUUGGGAAGGAGAUGCAGAGUGGAAAUUUCCUCCAAUAAUCCCAUCAAGCACUAUGCUUUUGAUUAAACUGACCCUGUGUUUUUGUAUAAUUUAAAACAAAAUGUUGAAAUAUAUUUAUAUACAAUAAAGAACACAGAAAAUAUUCCAUCAAGUGUUGAAGGAAUAAUGAUUUUUCAACAGCCUUGCUCAGGUCAGAAUUGGAGGUGUAUGAACAAAAAAUUUGCAAACAAUAUUGAGUAUUUUGCUAGGCCUAUGUCAUGAGGAGGGCCAUCUGGUUUGCAUAAAACAAACAUGGUAUGGCUGUCAGUUCAUUAUACUUUCAUAUUUACCUUUAACGUUAGGAGUUCAUGGAUUUUUGCAUAGGAAAUGAUUGCCAAAUGCCAGUUUAUGUACCUGAUGCACAGUGAGGCCAAACAAACAAAAUCGUCGAAGUUUGGAGCAGGUAAAGAUUUAUUGCAAAGACCAAGCAAGGAGAACUGGUGGCUCGUGCUCAAAAGACCUGAACUCCUGGAUGAUUUUUGUGGAAGAGUUUUUAUAGUAAAAAUUUGGGGCGAAGCCUAUAGGAUGUGUGACUUUUGUUGGUAAUGAGGUGACUGGGUGGUGUUUAGGAAUAUUGUACUCAAUCUGAAGUUACCAUCCUCCAGCAGAGUGGGAGUUUUAGAUCCUGCACAUAUUGUUAUGCAUAACAAGACACAUACAUAGAUAUUGCUAUGUAUAUCCCUUGAGGAGGAAACAGGUCCCCGUUUUAUAGCUACCCUAUUGUUUUUGACUGCCCCUCCUUUGUUUCUGUAUUUUCUCUUCUUCCUUAUUAGUAACUGUCUGAAUCUGUCCUUUGCAACUCAGCGACAACAGUCUAGGAGCUGAAACCUUUUUCCUCCAAAGAAGCAGAGGACAGGGAAAGGCUUUUGUAUCCAGAAAGGCCCUGCAGCAUCCUGCUUGGUUUGAAAAUUGCAAUAAAUGAAAAAAGAAGUCUGUUCCAUUAUGACUAAACCAGUGAACUCACUCUUGAGAAAAUAUGCUAUUUGUCCUUCACAAAGGAUGCCCCCUUGAUGCCAAGUAGGUUAAUUAAUGCAGAGACGGAAAAUUCUAUUCCAUUAGGAGGAUAUUUUCUCGGGACUAUCAGGAUCUAGCAAUUUGGAGAAUAUGAUUUCAGCUACGAGCUUUCCUAGUUUUGCCCUGGGACCCAGGUAUACAGAUGGCCUAAGAGCCACAGUGUGGACAUGAUCUUGGAGAGGCAGCAGUGAGUGGUGGCAUGAAGUGAGAUCUUAAUUCCCUGCCCAGGAAUUGAACCUGGGCAGCCUGGAUGAAAACCAGGAAUCCUAGCCACCACACCCCCGGCUCUUGCCCCCAGUGAAAAAUGCAUUGCUCACGGAGGCAAAAACUGUAAAAACAGGUACAAAGUUUAUUAUUAGAGACAUAGCACACAGAGAAACAGUUUGUUUAGUUAAGACAGAAGCAAGGCAGAGAUGCACAUCUGGAUAGAGAGGGUGUGGGCGUCCCCCCUAAUGAGGAGAAGCGCAGUAAAAAGGUGGUUAAAUCAUUUAUACAGGGCAGUUCUUCUGGGUCUUUGUGUACCUUUGGCCAAUUAUCUGGUUUCUUCUUCUACACCUGACCUGCCCUAGGACCCUCCCCAAUAUGCCUGGGCAACUUUUUUCCAAGAUGGAUUUCAGCCCAGAGGCCUAUGCGACGGCCUUAGCAUCACACAUUCUGGGGUGGUGUGCCCUCCUUUUUGACCCCCAAGGAACCUUUCUGCACAUGUGCAGUGUCUCCCUUGCCCCAAGGAUGGGAAAUAUAUGACCUCUUGAUCCUUGACUCAAACAAGGGUUAGCCCCUCUCUAUUCCUGCCAUGACUGUUAUCUUAAGGUGUUCACGGGAGACAAAGCCUGGGUAUUUACCCUGUUUCUGCAGUUACUUCCAUUUCAGAGAGCAAACAGGAGGCUGAUUUUAAAUGUCUAAACUGAAGCCCAUCUAUCUCCUGUCUCAGCAAAUGUAAACAGGAGACUAAGUUGUAAGUGUCGGAAGCCCACUUUUUCCUGCCCCAUGAAAUGUAAACGGGAGGUUAGUUGUGAAUGCCUGGCUUGGGGCCCCUCUAUCUCCUGCCUCAGACACACACCCAAUCAGGGGUCUCAGGGCACCCAGGACCCUGGGAUAAGCAUUUCCCCCCGUAUUUCUACUCUGAAGUACUAAAUUGAUUGCUUGGCUCACAGUCAACCCAGGGUGCAGGGGGCCAAGGGAAAUGUAGUCUUUCUCCCUCUUACUGUCUUCCUGGUCUUUCGCGGCUUCCUCUGCGCAUGUGCAACGUAGGGCCCGCCUCACCCCUUCCGCUUUCAUGCGCCUCGAGGUGAGAAGAACCUGGAGCUUUGGUCGUGGCAGGUGCAGGACUUGCGUGGCCUGAAGCUUCGCUGAGAGCGGCGUUCUUGUGGCGGGGGCAGAAGCGGGACGUCGCGGGACGUCUCGGGCCGUCCUCUGGCCCAGGCGGGACUGCAGUGCCCGGGUCUGGCCUGGACCUCCGCCCUGGGAAGCUGAAUCUUCAGUCCUCUGCACCUUCCUAAACGCUACAGAAGAUGAACAUAUCUGAGGGGACAUGGGUUCAAACCCUGGUCCGGGAAGAUCCCACAUGCCUUGGAGCAACUAAGCCAGUGAGCCACAACUACUGAGCCCGUGUGCCCUAGAGCCCACGUGCUGCAACUACUGAAGCCUGCGCGCUCUAGGGCCCAUGUGCCACAACCACUGAGCCCACAUGCUGUAACUACUGAAGCCCGCGUGCCUAGAGCCCGUGCUCCACAACAAGGGAAGCCACUGCAAUGAGAAGCCCCCGCCUGCCGCAACUAGAGAAAGCCCACAUGCAGCAACAAAGACCCAGCACAGCCAAAAGAAAAUAAAUUAAAAAAAAAAAAGUUCUCAUCACAAGAAAAAAAUUCUUGUGUAUGGUGAUGGAUGCUAACUAGAUCUGUUGUGGUGAUCAUUUUGCAAUAUAUGUAAAUAUUGAAUCAUUAUGUUGUAUACUUGAAACUAAUAUAAUGUUCUAUGUCAAUUGUACCUCAAUUUAAAAAAAGAAAAUUUCAAGUAUAUAUGUAAGUUGGAGAAGAGAAAUGGAGGAGUAUUUAGAGGUGGAUAUGGAGGUCAAAAGAGGUAUUAUGUAUUUAUUUUUUAAGAUGCAAAAAGUAUGGUACCAUUGUAUGCUGAUUGUAAUGAUUAAAUAAAAUUUUUAUUGUUUAUCCAUGA